rnacentral:rRNA from 1 species
AGAGUUUGAUCAUGGCUCAGAGCGAACGUUAGCGGCGGGCUUAACACAUGCAAGUCGAACGAGAAUGAGGGGGCAACUCCUCUAGUAAAGUGGCGGACGGGUGCGUAACACGUAGGUAAUCUACCUUCUGGCGGGGGACAACAGUCCGAAAGGAUUGCUAAUACCGCGUAAGUCGGCGAGGACUCUGGUUCUUGUCGGGAAAGACGGCCUCUCCUUGGAAGCUGUCACCAGAAGAUGAGCCUGCGGCCCAUCAGCUAGUUGGCGAGGUAACGGCUCACCAAGGCUAAGACGGGUAGCUGGUCUGAGAGGAUGAUCAGCCACACUGGGACUGCGACACGGCCCAGACUCCUACGGGAGGCAGCAGUGGGGAAUAUUGGGCAAUGGGCGAAAGCCUGACCCAGCCACGCCGCGUGAGUGAUGAAGGCCUUCGGGUCGUAAAGCUCUGUGGGGAGGGACGAACAAGGUGCGUGCUAACAUCACGUGCCCCUGACGGUACCUCCUUAGCAAGCACCGGCUAACCAUGUGCCAGCAGCCGCGGUAAUACAUGGGGUGCAAACGUUGCUCGGAAUUAUUGGGCGUAAAGCGCGCGUAGGCGGUUACCUAAGUCGGAUGUGAAAGCCCUCGGCUUAACUGAGGAAGUGCACCCGAAACUGGGUAGCUAGAGUACGAAAGAGGGUCGCGGAAUUCCCGGUGUAGAGGUGAAAUUCGUAGAUAUCGGGAGGAACACCGGUGGCGAAGGCGGCGACCUGGGUCGAGACUGACGCUGAGGCGCGAAAGCGUGGGGAGCAAACAGGAUUAGAUACCCUAGUAGUCC